CGCCGCAUCGCGCCACCCCGACUUGGGCAGCAGCGAGAACGCGUUGGAGUGCGUCAGCAGCUCGUCGCCGAACGCCCAGUAGACGGCCGCCGCCGACGGCAGCGUUAGCGUGAACACGUACAGCGUGGCCAUCAGCAAACUCUACACAAGUCAAACGAACACUCACACGGUGACGGCGUGGCCGCCGAAGGUGUAGAGGAUGUUGGUGGCGCCGGUGAAGUAGAGCACCAGCUUGGUUGGACCGGAGUGCGCCACGCCGUCCCGCUGCAUCAUCCCAAACACCGACACUUUUGUCACCAAGAACAGGACCAGCAAACUGAACUGCUAACUGUUUAGUUAACUACCUGGCCGUGGACGACGGCGGCGAUGGCGAGGUACCAGGCGGUGUAGCUGGUCAUGCCAAGGCCGAGGAAGGACCAAAUCCUGUAGUUGUGGAAGGAAGGGAUGAACACCGUGGUGGCGCAGCAGGCUCCAAAUAUAUAGAUAUGAUUAAUCUCUGCAAAAUAAAGAGAAGAAACGAGAGGAAGAAAAUGAAGUGUUACCUGGCACAAGCAAUGAGUUGAAUGACGGAGCCAAACAGGAGGAAGGUGCAGUUGAAGGCGAGUCCGACGACCUUCCAAUACGGCCCCAGCAACCCAUCCAACACUUCGAACCACUGCAUAAAGUCAAGAACAGGGAAAGGAAAAGGGGGUGCUUCAGUCAUAUUAAUAUCGACCAAAUGCGAGGAGAACCGAGAAUUUGCUAAUUGUCAGGCUCCCACAGAAUCUUGUGAAUCGGAACAAAUGGGAAAAAAGCGAGAACAAAACAUAACGAAGCAGAGGAAGGGAAAAGGAGGAAGAAGGGUACGGUACUCGGAGGAACAAAGCAGAAGAAGAAGGGUGUGUGACCUGGAUA